UGAUAUUGCAACUAUGGACUGUUAUUGUCGACGAGUAUUUCUCCACCGGCGACUACCGACGGCGGAAUUAAGUCGCGCGUACGUAACAGCGGCCGUAAAGUCAAAGUGUUAACGCUAUACGACUCUUAGUGAACGGAUACUAGUCACGAACUAGUAUCCGGAAUGCCAUGACGGAGCAAACAGGUGCAGGUCCAAGAAUGAGGAAGUCACUACGGGAGACGCGGGACGAUGAGUCACGGACAACGAUGCAUUAAAUAUUUCCAGCAUUGAAGUAGGACAAUGGCCUGCCCAGAUAGUACCGAGAUAGACAGGUGUACGAGUAUUUGCCAGCAAUUUUAUUAGUCAACUUGUAAAGGUUGCGUCACUUACGAAUGGUUCAUAGAACGCUCAUGUUUACUACAUAAAAUUACAAAAUAGAAAUAUAAGAAAGAAUAAUCGAAAUUUGCUGCAUACAAUAUCAUGCAAAAUAUAAUAUAGAACUCUGGAUGUAACUUUUAACAAAUUGGUUGUUGCAUCAACGCAACAAAAAUUUUUAUAAAUUUAAGAUGUAAGUUUCAUAAUUAAUUCGAUACAUUUAUCUCUCAUAAAUGUAAUUAAAAGAAUUAUACGGGCCAUUUAACAAUUACGUCGCGUGAAAUUUGAAUAUUUUUAUCUCUGCCUUUUGUCACAAUUUUCACCACAAAGUUUCGGCUUCGCUCCAAUAUUACAUGGCAUAUAAUAUUAUUCUUGCACUCACAUAAAAUAAAAACAAAUAGUUUAAUAUUGUGAGUAAUAAUUGUUAUUACUAAAUCGUCUUUUACUAAAAUACAAAUAAUUUUUAGACAUAUCAAAUUAUUUAUUUUAUAAU